GAGAACACACAGAGGGAAAUUGACGAGAGCUUCAGGUGAAAAGAAAUUCAACCAAAAGUCUAGAAAAUUCAUACCCAAUUCUGAUUCAUCUUGAGUGUUUGAAAGUGGUGAGUUUCAUGUUCUAAUCUGCUGUUUCCAUGGAGAUUUUGAAGUAAAUGAAAAAGGGUUUUCUUUGUUCUUGGGUUUUGAUUGAAGGUUUUACUGUUUGACUAGGUGUCUUUGAAUUCAGUUGGCGGAUUACGAAGAUUGAGGUUUGAGUAGCGGUUUGAGUGACAGGUAGCCUCGAUGCAAGUGGUGUUGACUCGGCCGAUGGAGAAAUUAGUGUCUGGGUCGAUUAAGUUGUUAUAACUCGUCCUUGAGAUAUCAUUGCUGGGCUCAGUAGUACUGUGCAGUCUUGUAGCUUUCUGAAGGUGUAUUUUCUUGAGUUUUUUGAUUGUAAGUAAGGCUCUACCUCCUGAAUGUUUGUAUUGUGUAUCUACAAACAACACACUUGUAAAUUAGAUGGUUAUGUAUAUUAUGAAUAGUGUAGUUUGUGUAAUUGGCUUGUCUCGUAAGUUUUAUCGCA